UCAAUUCAACGGGGGGGGUUGGGAGGUGGGACGGGCGGAGGUAGGACAGCCAGACCGGCUGCCUGGUCUGGUGUAGGUCCAUCUCCAUCUGCAACCGUGUAUCCAUUGUUGGACGCUGCGUUGCCAUCGUCAAUCUCCAUUGCGUCCUCGUUGGGUUCCUUGGGGAUGUCGUCUGAUAGCUCAAUGUAGCGUCUCGUCUUUGGCAACUUGCGAAGAGACGGCGGAAUCACUUUGUUGAACGCGCGGUUGCGAUGUUGGACGAAAGUUGGUGCAUCCUGAUCUGCGUGGAACCGUAUCUCACGUAGGGGAAUCUUCUUUUUCCCUUCUUGCGAAACCAGAGUAUCUGGGCAUCCGAUUUGCGCGAAAAAGACGGUGCGGUCUCACGACAUGAGACCCAUCGUUUUGUAUUUUGGCGUAAUCAACACAGGUCGAGCGCCUUCGUUGACAAACCAUUGUAAGAGGGCGCUGUUCCAAACAGUCUCUCAAACACGGCACACACGUUUGUGCUACGAGGAAGCGAUCUCCCGACUUGGAGGGAGAGAAGACGACUUGAGGACUUGGAGGUAAAAUUGCAACUGAAUUAAAAAUGCUGUUAUGGUUCCUGUCGCUAUAUACAAUUGAACCUCAAGGGCUCCUAGAGAUUUUACAAGUAAAACCUACACAUGCAGAAAUAAAACCUAUGAAUCUGAUAUAUAAAACCUUGGGUACACUGAGGUUGAACCUAGGGGAUCUGCUGGGAACUUGAACUUGAAGUACCGCAGAGAUUCCCUGCGAAGUGAUUGGCGGGAGCCACUCACUUCAGAGGAUAGAGACACGUCGGUCUCGUCACCAGUGUAGAUUCCCAAGUCGGAACCAUCACUCUGUACUUGAUUAGUACAUGGAUACUUGUGACAUCAUCAGAUGACGUCACACGUGCAUGUGGGAUCUGUUGUACCGCAAUCCCUUUGUUAUUUGCUACCACAAUGCACGCUGAAGGUGGUGUGUCCAACACUAACGUAGGGCACAGCCGCACCUUCAUGUAAUGGCUAGGUAUAGCUCAUUACAACCAUUGGUAAAUGUCUUUGUCUGAGACAUCUGGAGGGAGACGGGUGAGAUCCACAUAGUACCACUUGUCGUACAAGGAAUACUUGCGAAUCGUUGGCGUUUUUCCACUGAUGUUCAGUUGCACAUCUCCCAACGCGCGGCACGUGGUUGAGGAUGUGCAGACAAAACUGAUACCGCGGCCAGGAAUGCGCACAAAGUCACGCACUUGCGGGCGGGCGUCAAUCCACACCUGCUGUUGCGGUCCAGCCAACGAGCGGAGGAUAUCAUCGAUGUUGUGAUCUGUGACAAUAUCAGCAGCGGGAAUCCACAUGCUGAAACACUCCUCCAAUGCGACAGGUGUCGGUAGUGAGGCUAGCGCAGCUGAACGCAUUGAGGUGUGGUCGCAUAAUUCACCUUCCAUUGCCUUCACGCUUCGUGUAAACACGAUAUCAUCAGGGAUGAAACGGCGUGGGCGGUCCGGAGAUUUAGCCACUAUGCCUGGCGUAGUUGGCGCCAAAGCACGUUGCGGCAUGGGUUUGCGCGGCGGCGUUUCCUUCGGCGUCAAAGAUGCCGCUGGCGUUUUCUUUGGUGGUGGCGAUGUUGUUUUCUUCGUCAUUUCUACUGCCUCUUUUGAUAUGCAGAGCUUCUUUUCUUUCUUCUUUGUUUUUUUGUUGUUUUUGUUGUUUUUGAUUGUGGGCACGAAUAUGUAUUUCAACGUACGGCGCUUUUUCUAGUAGAGCUGUCGAUUCCUCACAGCACUACGAACCUUAUUCAAGCGAAUGUGGCGAGUAGGCAAGACUUUAGUCAGCAAUUGGAAGCAAAACGAUCCUCAAAUCGCGGCUUGCCAAAGGAGCACUUCGGUCUGGGAGUACGUGAAUCCGGAGAGGGUUGAUCAACAGUAACAGCCUCGCCGACAAGCGGGGUGAACGACAGCGUGUUCAAACCACGUAGUGGAAAGACACAACUAUCUAGCAGCAACUAUUCCGCAACAAACCAAGGAAAACGCCGGCAGGCACUACACACUCUAACGAGAGUGUUUAAGCGUGGGCGGCGUGUUUUACGAGCAGCACAGCAAAAGCUGAGCGUAGCGACCAACACGGGAGCGGAAGGGGCCUUGUGUCCAACUGCGCGAGGGGUAGGACAGGGGUCUUUGGGGGCAGACGGUACGGAGUGAUUGUCACUUGCGUACUAGCCAGUAAAUUGGGAACUGGGGAGUUUGGCUGGGGCGGCACAUCUGUUAAAUGAUAACACAGGUGUCCUAAGGUGAGCUCAAUGAGAACAGAAAUCUCAUGUAGAACAAAAGGGUAAAAGCUCACUUGAUUUUGAUUUUCAGUAUGAAUACAAACCGUGAAAGCGUGGCCUAUCGAUCCUUUAGUUCUUUAGAAUUUUAAGCUAGAGGUGUCAGAAAAGUUACCACAGGGAUAACUGGCUUGUGGCAGCCAAGCGUCCAUAGCGACGUUGCUUUUUGAUUCUUCGAUGUCGGCUCUUCCUAUCAUUGCGAAGUAGAACUCGCCAAUUGUUGGAUUGUUCACCCACUAAUAGGGAACGUGAGCUGGGUUUAGACCGUCGUGAGACAGGUUAGUUUUACCCUACUGAUGAGUUCGUUGUCUAAACAGUAAUCCAACCCAGUACGAGAGGAACCGUUGGUUCAGAUAAUUGGUAACUGCAGUUAGCUGAAAAGCUAGUGCUGCCAAGCUACCAUCUGUAGGAUUAUGGCUGAACGCCUCUAAGUCAGAAUCCAUGCUGGAAUAGACGAUAAUCACCUUUCCUGAUGUACCGCGAAUAGCGAUAGAUGUCUUUUGGGCAUCCAACAUCAUAAAAUUGCAACGCACUCGCAUUGCCUGACAAAUGUUGGUAGU
rnacentral:rRNA from 1 species